rnacentral:rRNA from 1 species
CCCUUAGACGCUCUAGGCGGCACGCGCGCUACAAUGGGUGGUAGAACGUGUAACUGCUCCCGAAAGGGAGGGUGAACCACGAAUACUUACCCGUGAAUGGGAUAGUUUGUUGCAAUUUUCGGACUUGAACUAGGAAUCCCUUGUAAGAAUGCUCAAGAAUAGCGUGCUGAAUACGUCCCUGCCGUUUGUACACACCGCCCGUCGUUUCUUCCGACUGAUACUCAUUGUGAGUUGCAAGGAUUCUUAUUGAAAAAUUGCUGCGAAUGCUUCGUAUUGGAGGAAGAAAAAGUCGUAACA